rnacentral:rRNA from 1 species
GAUGAACGCUGGCGGCGUGCCUAAUACAUGCAAGUCGAGCGAACAGAUGAGGAGCUUGCUCCUCUGACGUUAGCGGCGGACGGGUGAGUAACACGUGGAUAACCUACCUAUAAGACUGGGAUAACUUCGGGAAACCGGAGCUAAUACCGGAUAAUAUAUUGAACCGCAUGGUUCAAUAGUGAAAGACGGUUUUGCUGUCACUUAUAGAUGGAUCCGCGCCGCAUUAGCUAGUUGGUAAGGUAACGGCUUACCAAGGCAACGAUGCGUAGCCGGCCUGAGAGGGUGAUCGGCCACACUGGAACUGAGACACGGUCCAGACUCCUACGGGAGGCAGCAGUAGGGAAUCUUCCGCAAUGGGCGAAAGCCUGACGGAGCAACGCCGCGUGAGUGAUGAGGGUCUUCGGAUCGUAAAACUCUGUUAUUAGGGAAGAACAAAUGUGUAAGUAACUAUGCACGUCUUGACGGUACCUAAUCAGAAAGCCACGGCUAACUACGUG